rnacentral:rRNA from 1 species
AUUGAACGCUGGCGGCAGGCCUAACACAUGCAAGUCGAGCGGAUGAGUGGAGCUUGCUCCAUGAUUCAGCGGCGGACGGGUGAGUAAUGCCUAGGAAUCUGCCUGGUAGUGGGGGGCAACGUUUCGAAAGGAACGCUAAUACCGCAUACGUCCUACGGGAGAAAGCAGGGGACCUUCGGGCCUUGCGCUAUCAGAUGAGCCUAGGUCGGAUUAGCUAGUUGGUGAGGUAAUGGCUCACCAAGGCGACGAUCCGUAACUGGUCUGAGAGGAUGAUCAGUCACACUGGAACUGAGACACGGUCCAGACUCCUACGGGAGGCAGCAGUGGGGAAUAUUGGACAAUGGGCGAAAGCCUGAUCCAGCCAUGCCGCGUGUGUGAAGAAGGUCUUCGGAUUGUAAAGCACUUUAAGUUGGGAGGAAGGGUAGUAACCUAAUACGUUGCUACUUUGACGUUACCGACAGAAUAAGCACCGGCUAACUUCGUGCCAG